UCCACAAUCCUCUAUGUACACGUAUACAUAACUAUACGUACAUCUGCUGCUUGUGAUUCGUCUACACUAAUUUCCUUAAAAGGCACAAACUUUAGGUCGGUUUCUAAGUCUUGAGAGAAAGUAUUAACUUUGGUUCGAGUAUUAAUUCUGUCCAAAACCUUUUCUUUUUUUUUUUUGCUUCAUGAAUAAAUACGAACUUUAAAUCGAAUCUUGAUUCCGGUAUUUUUUGGGUCUCAUAAAAAAGCAUAGACUUUCGGUCGAUGCCCGAAUCUGGACCGGUUUAUGCGAUGGAUUUAAGCAAUGUUUUUUUUUCCUAGAUAAUUACGGCGAGGCAGACAAGCAGUGUCUUGCCAGUGUAGGAUGAGCUGUGCCAUUUCUCAAAUAGCUGUGUUGUCAUGUGAUCAGUAAGUUAUUUGUUUUUUUUUUCUUUUGGAGCAUCUGGUGUUCAGUCGGUGGGAUGAGGCGCUCGGAUUCAAUUAUUCUAUGGUGAGAUUCGAAUGCUGCGGGCACAUCAGCUUUCGCCUUUGAUUAAAAUUGAAAUUUUGGGAUCUUGUACUGUUAGGUGAGUCACCACCGAAAGGUCUUACCUUUGAGGUCAAGCCAAGUUGUCUCCACCAGAGACGUGCCUCUUUCUCCUUGCUUCGGAAAUGGACGGUUCUUGAGAAUAAUCAAUCGCAAGAAAACGCCGCCAGCCAAAGCUUCGGUGUGUACACAAGAGUUGCAGGUCGGAGAAAGCCAGAGCGUCAAAGGCUUCAUCGCGACGAGUGCGAGCAGAGGAGUAGCCAGUGAAGAAGAUACGAUGGAAGGAGAGAACUCGAGUCCCAGCUACAUGGAUCACCACCCUUGCUCCAUAGUUAGGCUA